GCGGAAUUGGUGAAGGGGUUAACACGGCAGAUUGUGGCUCUGUUAUGCAUGGGUUCGAAUCCCAUAUUUCGCCCCA
rnacentral:tRNA from 2 species